rnacentral:siRNA from 1 species
AUUAUAUCAUUUGAUGCGUUUUCC